CCACGAAUUGGCUCCGAACCCAGGCAACGUUCAAUUCCGUUGUGAAUCCAGCGACGUUCAACCUCGCUGUGAAUUCCCUAGCGACGGGUUUUCCUGUGAAAACGGCGACGUUUAGUUUCGACGGGGCGGCGACGUGAAGAAGAGACCUCCUCCGACUCCGAUCUCUCUCAGAAAGGAAAUUAGGUAGCAGAAGAGAGAUGAUAACGCGAUCGAAUCUGGCGGAUCAGUUGAGAGAGUAUCAGAUUCGAUCGAAGCAUGACUGGGCCUCCGUCUCCUUCUUCUCCUCCACCUCCAACCACACUUUGUCAAGGGUAGAUGUUGUGCUCUUUGUAAUAUGGGAAUUGGUAAUUCUAGCUUUCCUGGUGUUUUCAGCAGUUUCGUUGUACUUCAGGCAUAUGCGGCUUGCUUUCAUCCUUGUAUGCAUCGCAAUGCUUUUGCUUUUGUGCAUAAAAGUUACUAGGCAAGUGAAGUUGGCUCGGAAAAAGAAACGAAGGAUGCUUCUUCCAUUAUCUAUGUAAUAUGAGACGGAGACUCGCAGUACCUGAAGUUAACCGUGGAAGUUCUUGGCCAUUGCAUUUGAUCUGUAUCCCGUCUGUCCCUUCUUUUGUUUAUUGGAGUGUGUAAUCACACCUUGAUUUUCAAAAGUAAAAGUCGAUGUGAUUACUCUUGAAGAUGCUGAUCAAAGUGUCGUGCUCAAUCUUUCAAGAUAGAAGAGAAUACACGAGGGAGGAAGAAUGAUUAGUUGAAGGCUUGAAGAAGUGAACUUCUAUUCCGAUGGUUACUAUAUUCCAAAUUGCUCCUGUGACAAUUAAGAGACUAAGGACUAUCCCUGAGGAUCCCAGUACCCAAUUGAAUAUUGCAAUAUGCUUUGGAGGUUUUCUGAUGAG